rnacentral:rRNA from 1 species
UAGGGAAUCUUCCACAAUGGGCGAAAGCCUGAUGGAGCAACGCCGCGUGUGUGAUGAAGGCUUUCGGGUCGUAAAGCACUGUUGUAUGGGAAGAACAGCUAGAAUAGGAAAUGAUUUUAGUUUGACGGUACCAUACCAGAAAGGGACGGUUAAAUACGUGCCAG